UUGAAAAUGGGUCAUCUGGGGUCAAAAACUAGGUCACUAGGUCAAAUCGAAGAAAAACCUUGUGUAUGCAAUAGAGAAUGUAUUUUUCAAUUGAUCUUCAUGAAAUUUGGUCAGAGUGAUUGCCUUGAUGAAAUCUAGGAUGAGUUUGAAUAUGGGUUAUCUGAGGUCAAAAACUAGGUCACUAGGUCAAAUUAAAGAAAAAUCUUGUGUAUGCGAUAGAGACUGUUUUUUUCAAUUGAUUUUUAUGAAAUUUGGUCAGGAUGAUUGCCUUAAUGAAAUCUAGGUCGAAUUUGAAUAUGGGUCAUCUGAGGUCAAAAACUAGGUCACUUGGUCAAAUCAAAGAAAAAACUUGUGUAUGUGAUAGAGGCUGUAUUUUUCAAUUGAUCUUCAUGAAUUUUGGUCAGAAUGAUUGCCUUGAUAAAAUCUAGGUCGAGUUUGAACAUGGGUCAUCUCGGGUCAAAAACUAGGUCAUAUCUAAGAAAAUGCUUGUUUUAUCGCAAGAGACCAAUUUUUUGGCCCAAUCUUAAUGAAAAUUGGUCAGAAUAUUUGUUUCCAUGAAAUCACUAGGUCAAACAUGUUUUAUACUGUUAUGGUGUGUUUCUUAGGUGAGCGACCUAGGGCCAUCUUGGCCCUCUUGUUUUUAAUUGCAUAUUCAAACACAGUAUGGCUGAGAAAGCUAGCAGUUUCCGCAAGAGGAGAAAUUUGCAUACGCGCGAGAAAAGUCACGCUUUACUUGCUGUGACAGGGGUUUCAACUCUCGAUAGGCAUAGAUGCAGAAAGCAUGAUACAAGUUCAGACUUCAUUAAAGGCUCAAGAGAGGAGAGAGAACAAUCCUCGGGCUUUCCGUUGUGACAUUUGCGGCCAUCUUGUAGCAACCCUUCAUGAACUCACCGAGCACAUGCGCAGUCAUGAAGACAAUCGAAGUCCGGCCUGACCACAAUGUGGUGCAGUGUAUGAGCACAGCUCAUCCCUGAAUCGGCAUAUUAGGCAACGUUGCAGGAAUGUGUGUUUAAUUUAAUCCGGUGAAUACUUAGAAAAAUCGAUGUAGACAUGUUCUCGUCAAAAUAUCCGGUUUUCUUAUAGUUUUAUAUGAAAUGCGGGGGUUAAGUGUUGCGAUGACGAUCAAUGUACAAUUCAGCGUGUGUCUUUGCUCAAACAAUUAAAAAUAUGUAAUAUGUGUUUUAUUGAUAUUAUACAAUACUGUUUAUCUUGAUUUUUAGUAAAGCAUUUCUAGUCAUUUAGUCAAA